GGGGUGAUGACUGACAUGCUGCCAGUACAUAACAGGCCAAGGACUCGGCACAGCGCAGGCACAAUGUGUGCUCCUGAGUGAAUCUAACGGCCUUAUCACCAAGGAACGAGGCCAUUGUGUGUAUUAGUGGAGUCUCAGCUAGCUGACUCCUGCCUUCAGCUUGAACUGAGACAGGUUCCAUUUGCACACGGUCUACCUGGGUCAUCUAUGGCUCAUCCUGCUUUGCUGUUCCUCCAACAUUCACCGAGACCUGACUUUAUAUUCUGAGGUGUUCAAGACAUUCAUUGGCCUAUCUAGCAGGGACUGACUGAGACGGUACGUUGUAUAUUUAUCAAAAGAUGCUUCCAGUUUUACCUUGGCCUGGGCA
rnacentral:lncRNA from 1 species